rnacentral:rRNA from 1 species
UACGGAGGGUGCAAGCGUUAUCCGGAUUCACUGGGCUUAAAGGGUGCGUAGGCGGCUUCGUAAGUCCGUUGUGAAAGUCAAAGGCUCAACCUUUGAAUGCCGAUGGAUACUGCGAAGCUAGAGUACGGAAGAGGCGAGUGGAAUUCCUGGUGUAGCGGUGGAAUGCGCAGAUAUCAGGAGGAACACCAAUAGCGAAGGCAGCUCGCUGGGACGUUACUGACACUAAGGCGCGAAAGCGUGGGGAGCGAACAGG